CGUACACUCCUGCGGGAGGCAGCAGUGAGGAAUAUUGGACAAUGGGUGGAAGCCUGAUCCAGCCAUCCCGCGUGCAGGAAGACGGCCCUAUGGGUUGUAAACUGCUUUUAUCUGGGGAUAAACCUACUUACGUGUAAGUAGCUGAAGGUACCAGAAGAAUAAGCACCGGCUAACUCCGUGCCAGCAGCCACGGUAAUACGGAGGGUGCAAGCGUUAUCCGGAUUUAUUGGGUUUAAAGGGUCCGUAGGCGGACUGAUAAGUCAGUGGUGAAAUCCGACAGCUUAACUGUCGAACUGCCAUUGAUACUGUUAGUCUUGAGUAAGGUUGAAGUGGCUGGAAUAAGUAGUGUAGCGGUGAAAUGCAUAGAUAUUACUUAGAACACCAAUUGCGAAGGCAGGUCACUAAGUCUUAACUGACGCUGAUGGACGAAAGCGUGGGGAGCAAACAGGAUUAGAUACCCUUGUAGUCCCAUGAU
rnacentral:rRNA from 1 species